rnacentral:rRNA from 1 species
AUUGAACGCUGGCGGCAUGCCUUACACAUGCAAGUCGAACGGCAGCACGGGUGCUUGCACCUGGUGGCGAGUGGCGAACGGGUGAGUAAUACAUCGGAACGUACCUUAUCGUGGGGGAUAACGCAGCGAAAGCUGUGCUAAUACCGCAUACGCCCUGAGGGGGAAAGCGGGGGAUCGAAAGACCUCGCGCGAUUAGAGCGGCCGAUGCCUGAUUAGCUUGUUGGUGGGGUAAAAGCCCACCAAGGCGACGAUCAGUAGCUGGUCUGAGAGGACGAUCAGCCACACGGGGACUGAGACACGGCCCAGACUCCUACGGGAGGCAGCAGUGGGGAAUUUUGGACAAUGGGGGCAACCCUGAUCCAGCAAUGCCGCGUGAGUGAAGAAGGCCUUCGGGUUGUAAAGCUCUUUCGUCAGGGAAGAAACACCGGCUCUAACACAGUCCGGGAAUGACGGUACCUGAAGAAUAAGCACCGGCUAACUACGUGCCAGCAGCCGCCGCGG